UUCAAGUUACAGCUUAAAUAUUUUUAUAUUGUGUAUCCAAUAACAGAUUAUUAUAGUUGUGAUAUUUUUCACUACCUUUGCUUUUUAACUUUUAAAUUCGAUUGGUAUGUGAAUUACACACAGCUUUACUGUAUCACAGACUCUCUGACCAUAUAUUAACCAUUCCCAGUGAGUCUCAUGCUACCUUCUUAUGUUUUAAUAAUGUUAACUAGAGUCCUUUUGCUGCCAUUAAAGAACUCCUUGUAACAUUUCUUGUAAGGCAGGUGGCCUGGUAAUAACUCCCUCAGCUGUUGUGCAUUUGGGGCAGUCUGUCUCUCCAUUUCUGAAAGACAGCUUUGCCAGAUACAGAAUUCUUGGUUGACAAUUUCUUUUUCUUCCAGUAUUUUGAAUCUAUCAUCCUAUUCUCUCCUGACUUGAAAACGUUUUGUUGAAAUAUCCACUUAUAGUGUUAUAGGGUUCCUUUUUAAGUAUGUGCGGGGGCUACUGGCUUUGUUCUGCAGACCAUCAACUCCUCCUGCCAGACCCUGGCCUCCAGCCUCGCUGAGCCACACAGUCCCACAGCUGUUACCACUCAGGUUUUCUGAUCCACUGGGCCCCAGAGCUCCUCUCGAAAGUGGGUGGGACUGUGAAUUAGCCUCCCAGCUUGAGCAGGAGAGGGCCAGACUCGGUUCCAGGGCCCCAGCAGGGCUCCUCUUUUUGAGGGCCUCCUUCAGGCAGAUCUGCACCCCUCCGAGUUCCCUGGUCAUAUUGUUGGUAUCCUGGCUCUGCAGAUGAGUAAAGCUGCUGGCUGAGAUGACAAUUCCUAGGACGCUGAAGGACACAGCAAGAAAGCAACCAUCUGCAAGCCAGGGAGAGGGCUCUUGCUAGAACCCAACCAUGCUGGCACCCUGAUCUCGGACUUCCAGCCUCCCAAAGUGUUUGUUCCUUGGAUAGAUGUGUGUGUCCACCAGCACUCUCAGGAUCCAGGACUUCACUCCUCCACCUUCAUAAAGCAGUUCUCUCAUGCUAUUUGUCUUUUGUUUGAUUUUAUUGAAGUAUAGUUGAUUUACAAUGUUGCGUUAAUUUCUGCUGUACAGCAAAAUGACUCCCUUAUACAUAUAUAUACACUCUUUUUCAUAUUUUUUUCCAUUAUGGUUUACCCCAGGAUAUUGAAUGUAGUUCUCUGUGCUACACGGUAGAACCUUGUUGUAUAUCCGUUCUGUGUACAGUUGUUCACAUCUGCCAACUCCAACCUCCUGCUCUAUCCCUCCCCCUCCCUCUUGGCAACCUCACAUCUAAUUCUCUGUGUCUGUGAGUUAGUUUCUCUUUCAUAGAUAAGUUCGUUUGUGCCAUAUUUUAGAUUCCAUAUAAAAGUGAUAUCAUAUCAUAUUUGUCUUUCUCUUUCUGACUGACUUAUUAUGACAGUCUUUGGGUUCAUCCAUGUUGCAGCAAAAGGCGUCAUUUCCUUCUUGUUUAUGUGAGUAGUAUUCCAUGAUAUAUUUGCUCCCCGUCUUCUCUAUCCAUUCAUCAGUCGAUGGACACAGGUUGUUUCCAUGUCUUGGCUGCUGUGAAUAGUGUUGCUAUGAACUUAGGGGUGCAUGAAUCUUUUCAAAUUAUAAUUUUGUCUGGGUACAUGUCCAGGAGUGGGGUCACUGGAUCAGACUCUCAUGCUAUUUCUUAAUCUUAACCCCUGCCCCAGGAAACCACUGAUCCAUUCUCCAUCUCCUUAGUCUUGUCAUUCUGAGAAUGUUGUACAGGUGAAAUCAGAUAGCACACAACCUUCUGAAAUCUACUGUCUUAAUUCUGCAUGGCUGCCCCUGAGGUCUGUGCAGGUUGCUAUGUGGAUCAAUCAGUUUUUCCUUUUUGUGACUGAGUAAUAUUCCAGGUACUGGUUGGCUAACAUUUGUUCAGCCCACUCAUUCACUGAAGGACGUUUGGUCUCCAGUAUUUUGCUCUUAUGAAUGGAGCUGUUAUGAAUAUUUGUGUACACUUUUUUGCAUGAACAUAUGUUUUCAUUUCUCUGGGAUAAACGCCCAGGAAUGCCUUCAUUGAGUUCUAUGGCAGUUACAUGUUUGGUCUUUAAAGAAACUGCCAAUCUGUGAUCCACAGUGACUCUACCAUUUUUUCUCUCCUCUGGCAACAUGCGAGAGAUCCAGGUUUUUGCACAGCCUCUCCAACAUC
ensembl:lncRNA